GGAAUAUUGGACAAUGGGCGCAAGCCUGAUCCAGCCAUGCCGCGUGUGUGAAGAAGGCCUUCGGGUUGUAAAGCACUUUAAGUUGGGAGGAAGGUUUCUUGGUUAAUACCCAAGAGAAUUGACGUUAACAACAGACGAAGCACCGGCUACUUCCGUGCCAGCAGCCGCGGUAAUACGGAAGGUUCGAGCGUUAACCGGAAUUAAUGGGCGUAAAGCGCACGUAGGUGGCUACUUAAGUCGGAUGUGAAAGCCCUGGGCUUAACCUGGGAAUUGCAUCCGAUACUGGGUGGCUAGAGUACGGUAGAGGGAGGUGGAAUUCCAGGUGUAGCGGUGAAAUGCGUAGAGAUCUGGAGGAACACCGGUGGCGAAGGCGGCCUCCUGGACUGAUACUGACACUGAGGUGCGAAAGCGUGGGGAGCAAA
rnacentral:rRNA from 1 species